GCACUGACAUAGAGGUGUCAAAAGACUUAGGUCAUCUGAAUGACUCAUCCCAAAGGAACAAUUACUACAGCCAACAGAGCUGGGUUCACAACUGACCUACCUGUUCCACCGCUGAGCAGCAGGAGAAACCACCAUCAGUACAAGGAGCACAGUCUCAUAAAAAGUACUUAUACAGGCAGAGAAGGACUCAAAGAAAAUGCCCUGUACUGCUGAUGUCUGGACUCAAUUUCACAUAAAAGCAAAUCAGGAAUUGUCUAAAGACUGGAAAACUUACUUGUUAACUUUUUUUUGUAAAUAACUGUUAGCAUACCGCACGUGAGAAAUCAGAUUCAUGAAAAUGUACACAAGGACAGCCUGUUAAGACUCCAGAAUAAUUUGAGAAUGCGAGAACGGAGUUCCCUGUCGUGGCGCAGUGGUUGACGAGUCCGACUGGGAACCAUGAGGUUGCGGGUUUGAUCCCUGCCCUUGCUCGGUGGGUUGACGAUCCCGCAUUGCUGUGGCUCUGGCGUAGGCUGGCGGCUACAGCUCCGAUUGGACCCCUGGCCUGGGAACCUCCACGUGCUGCAGGAGCGGCCCAAGAGAUGGCAGAAAGGCAAAAAAGAAAGGAAAAAAAAAAAAAAAGAAUGCGAGAAUAAAAAAAUCUAAAAAUUGGAUCUCCCACUGUGGUGCAAGGCUAUUGGCGGUGUCUUGGGAGCAUUGGUGAGCAGGUUUGACCCCAGUCCAGCACCAUGGGUUAAGGAUCCGUCAUUGCUGAAGCUUCAGCUUAGGUCGAGACUGCAGCCUGGAUCUGAUCCCUGGCCCGGAAACUCAAUAUGCUGUGGGAUAGCCAAAAAUGAAAAAAAAAAAAAAAAAAAAAAAAAUCUAAAAAUUAUCUUCUCAUGUGUAAGUACAAAUACCUAAAAAGCAAAGUAAGCUUUACUGAUUUUUUAAAUUUCACUAAUAGGAUUACUGUUUCCUAAUUUGAACUGGUUUAGAUAUAUAUCCAUUCUGUUCAUUUAUAUGAUGUAAAUUAUGAGAGUGUGUGUGUGUGUGUGUGUGUGUGUGUAUACACGCACACACAUGUGCAAGCUCCAGAACUCCAGUCAAGCUGCAAUCCCUUGCGAGAGACAAAGAAUAACUGUCCUUGAAGAGGGAUGCGAUCUUUAAGAGGUGCAGAUCAGGCGCAGAUUAGAACGGGAAAAGAGAAAAGGUUUCAAAGACGUCAUCUUGUGGAGAAUACCCUUCACAUGGCUGAUCCCAUCUAAAACACCUUGAGAGUAUCUUGCCUGAAUCUCCAAGGUCACGUAAUAUUCCUUUUACUAUCAAGCCAGAAGAGAAAAAUUAUCCCUGACUAGUGCUAUCGAAAUAAUGAGGGAAAGGAUGAAAUCUCUAAGUGGACCAAAAAAAGAAGGAGGAGGAGGAGGAGGAGAAGCAGCAAAUUACGAGUUCUAAAAGCUGAGGUAAAGAGGCCAUUCCCAAAAUGCUUUAAAUAUUCUACCCACCUCACAUCACUGCCACCGUAUAAUGUGAAUGUGGCAUGUACAGUCCCCGUUUUAUUACUAUUUUUUUAAGGGCUGCAUCCACAGCAUAUGGAAGGUUCCCAGGCCAGGGGUCGAACUGGAGCUACAGCUACCAGCCUACACCUUAGCAAUGCGGAGCCGAGCCACAUCUGAGACCUAUGCCAACUCACAGCAACUCCAGAUCCUUAACCCACUGAGGGAGGCCAGGGAUGGAACCCGCGUCCUCAUGGAUACUAGUCGGGUUCAUUACAGCUGAGCCACAACAGGAACUCCCUACAAUCCCAAUUUUAAAUCAUCGUAUGAACUCUGCUGUUUUUCCAGGUGAAAAACAAAGAACGAACUGAUAUUUUUAAAUGUUCUCAAGCACCAGUACAAAGAAUAUAGGCUAGGAGGGUGUUAAAUUACGAGCCAUCUGUCCUGAUAAUUUACGAUGUGAUUUCUCUAAUCUCCUUCAACACUACACAACAUUUCUAUGGCAACAGUGACUUCAAAUGCGAGUCUGGAGGGCCAGUUGUGCACUCAGUCUGUUCCCACAGCAGAAAGCCAAACUGGGGGACGAGCUCCUCAAUGAGCCAGCGCCCUCUCCUUCAUGAAGGACGGCCCAUCAUAAAUGGGCAGCAUCAUGAGAGGGAAACGGUUCUGCAGAGCGCACACAUCACUCCUUACCCAAAGCUGGCCAUGGCCCCGCAACCUCAGAUCAACAUGUGCACCUUGGCAUAACUCAUGGGUGGGUCCUGACGUACUUACCCGUAAGGCUGUGCAUCUGAAUUACCAGUUGGGCUUUUUUCAAAAUACAGAUUCCAGAGCCCUAUUCUGGAACUGCUAAAUGAGAACUGCUAGAGAUUCUGUAACGUUCUAAAACUUUUUCAGAGCUUCUGAUACAGGCUGGGUUAAGGAACCAUGGGUAUAAAUCACAACAGGCAUUUACUUGCCUCUCCUUGGAGCCUGAAUCGGUGGCCCAGCAGCUCACACUCACGGGAAACAAUCACGACCCAAAGAACCAACACCAAACCAUGGCCUAUACAAGGUAUCAGGCCACCACUAAAGACCAGCAAGGCUGGGAGACGACAGACAGGUGCAGUUUCCCAAAGGAAGGGAUGCUUGAGCUGGGUCAGUAGGGAAAACCAAGAAGAGGGAACACCAAACACAGAGACAGAGGCAAAAGCAUGGACACAGCAUGAGAUGUGCAACAGGGGUUUAAGAGGCUGAUGGGGCAACAGGUCCAGAACCUUCCCCUAAGGUCGGCCCAGCCAAGGUGGAUGUCCUGACUCAGUCUGAAACUCAGAAAACUGCAGUUGUGAUUCACAUGUGGCCUUGGUUAUAAAGAAGAUUCCUACACCAGGUAAAGAAAAGGAGAACUGGGAGUGGGAGAAAGAGAACUGAAGGUGAUUCUGUCCUAGCUGUACCAAAAUCCUCAUCGUGACACAGGGAAAAAUAGGUAUCAAUAAAUAGGCGAUAAAUGACUAGGUCUUUCUACGAGUGCCUCAAAUUUCAUUUUCACCUUGAGAGCAAUUCCAAUUAAGUGGAUUUGAGCUAGGUGAUCACCUCUCAUAAUUUUAAUUUCUGCAUUAUUCCCCAGCACAGUUUUAAAAGAGGCCAGAAGAGAGAAUCUGCCUAAUCACCUUGCCUCUUUAGAAGAUAAACUCCCACUGGCCAGAAUAUUAUUUUUGUCUUCUCCAGCUGUACGGCACCUGGCAUAUUGACACUCCUCAAAGGAUAAACAGCUCAUUCAUUACACAGUUCCAUGUAUAUUAAAUAAUGCCCAUAAAGUCUUUUGAAGAUGAAAACCACUUCAAGUGCUAAGUAAUUCUGAGCUGGGCAUUUGAAACCGAGAAACAAAGAAGACAGACCAACCAUCAUAAAAAGGUCACCACCCAGUAGGAAGGCUCUUGUUCCACCAGACCUCCGGUCCCUUAGCAAGUAUGCCACACACCAGACAAAAGCCCAACCUGCUUUAUGUGUUUUUAACAUAUAUCAUCAGGAGAAAGGGUUUCAAAAUGCCUCAAAAGAACAAAAGUCUUCAGCGGUUCAUUUCUUUCAGGGACCAUGCCCAAAAGUGAUUUCAAAGCCACACAAAUUCUUCUUCUUCCUGAGACAUCUCCUUCUAAGUGAAGCUAAAAUACUCUGUAUGAAGUGUCAACUCAAUUCUAAAACAGGCACAAUGAAAAUUCUUGCAACAGAGCAUAUGCGACUUUAUGCAAAUUCAUAGUUUUUCUAUCUUGGAGUCUAACACGUACUCCUGGUCGGGUAUGCAAGUGAGCAGAGCUGCCUCCAACGUUCAAGAAUACAGCACUCACACUAGCAGGAGAACCCUGGGUGCAAUUUUUAGUGCUCAGGCCAUGUGCAACAGGAAUAUAGCAGCAAGGUGACCCUCCUGUCAACUCUCCCAGAAGGCUAGCAGGGAAACCAAGCGUCAUCAGCUUGAACCAUCUCAGGUGUGCCCUUCACUGUCCCCAAAUACACUACCCAUUGGGAAACAAAGUCUGGCCCGUUCUUUUUGACUGCCCCCCCCCCCGCCGCCCUGAAAUUCUCAGCAUGACUGUUAAUCCAAUGUUUUCUAGGAAAUUACCAAAUAUACCAUCAAAUCACAGCUGAAGCCCAGUGAGAUCUUACCUAUAAUGCCCACCUUUAAAAAACAGUGAUUUUCUUUUUUCCUCUCCCUGGCACCAAAAAAAGGGAUGUAGAAAGCUCCCUGAAUGAUGUCACAUUUGUCAGUGUGAUACACAUGGCGCCACAGGAGAAACCAUAGCGAGCAAACCCUCGUUUCCGCCCAAGACGCCCACCUCUGGGAGAAGACCACUGGGCACUUGGCGUCCUCCUGUCCAUCCCGAAGAGCCACUAACCUGCGGGAAGUUCAGAACCUCUCCGAGCCGCCUCCCUCAGGUAUAAAAUUGGACAUCACUGCCUACCUUGCAGGGGGCUAUGAAAAUGAAACAGCUGGUGGCUGUAAGCGCUCAAAAGAUGAAGCUGUUUAAGAAUCUGAAAUACUGCCAAUUUAGCCAAAACUAUUUUUUGUUUAUAUAUAACUCACACACUAUAAAAUUCACACUUUUAAAGUAUACGAUUCAGUGGGUUUUGGUAUAUUCACAAUGUUGUGCAACCAUCACUAUUAGCUAAUCCCUGAACAUCUUCAUCUCCCAAAAGCCUUUCUCCAGAAUGCUCGACCCACUAGCAGUCAUGAUUUUUACGCUCCAAAAUUUCUCAGUCAAAAGGGUUUCAUCCUUAAAAUAUUAAGAAGUAAAUACGAUUCUCCUUUCCUGCUAAAAUAUCCAGUUGUAGGAAGGGCCGAUAGAAGUAC
ensembl:lncRNA